rnacentral:rRNA from 1 species
CCUACGGGGUGCUGCAGUGGGGAAUAUUGCACAAUGGGGGAAACCCUGAUGCAGCGACGCCGCGUGAGUGAAGAAGUAUUUCGGUAUGUAAAGCUCUAUCAGCAGGGAAGAAAAUGACGGUACCUGACUAAGAAGCCCCGGCUAACUACGUGCCAGCAGCCGCGGUAAAACGUAGGGGGCAAGCGUUAUCCGGAUUUACUGGGUGGAAGGGGGGCGUAGCCGGGAGGGCAAGCCUGGAGUGAAAUCCCAUGGCUUAACGAUGGAACUGCUUUUGAAACUGUGCAGCUGGAGUGCAGGAGAGGUAAGAGGAAUGCGUGGUGUAGCGGUGAAAUGCAUAGAUAUCAGAAAGAACACCGAUGGCGAAGGCAGCUCACGGGACUGUGAUUGACGUUGAGGCACGAAAGCGUGGGUAGCAAACAGGAUUAGAUACCCGGGUAGUC